rnacentral:rRNA from 1 species
GACGAACGCUGGCGGCGUGCUUAACACAUGCAAGUCGAACGGAAAGGCCCUGCUUGCAGGGUACUCGAGUGUCGAACGGGUGAGUAACACGUGGGUGAUCUGCCCUGCACUUCGGGGUAAGCCUGGGAAACUGGGUCUAAUACCGGAUAUGAGCCAUCCUGAGUGUGAUGGUUGGAAAGUUUUUUCGGUGUAGGAUGAGCUCGCGGCCUAUCAGCUUGUUGGUGGGGUAAUGGCCUACCAACGCGGGGGCGGGUAGCCAGCCUGGGUGGGUGGACGGCCACAAUGGGACUGGGGAUCGGGCCAGAAUCCUAAGGGGGGCAGCAGGGGGGGAUAUUGGACAAUGGGGGGAAGGCUGAUGCAGCGACGCCGGGUGGGGGGUGGAGGGCUUCGGGUUGUAAACCCGUUUCGGUAGGGACGAAGCUGUGUGUGACGGUACCUGGAUAAGAAGCACCGGCUAACUACGUG